rfam:Camelus ferus unplaced genomic scaffold scaffold642, whole genome shotgun sequence.
GGGGGAAUAGCGCAGUGGUAGAGUAUGUGCCUAGCAUGCACAAGGUCCUGGAUUCAAUCCCCAGUAGCUCCA